AACGAACGCUGGCGGCAGGCUUAACACAUGCAAGUAGAGCGCCCCGCGAGGGGAGCGGCAGACGGGUGAGUAACGCGUGGGAAUCUACCCAUCUCUACGGAAUAACGCAUGGAAACGUUUGCUAAUACCGGAUACGUCCUUCGGUAGAAAGAUUUAGCGGAGAUGGAUGAGCCCGCGUUGGAUUAGCUAGUUGGUGGGGUAAAGGCCUACCAAGGCGACGAUCCAUAGCGGGUCUGAGAGGAUGAUCAGCCACACUGGGCCUGAGACACGGCCCAGACUCCUACGGGAGGCAGCAGUGUGGAAUAUUGGACAAUGGGCGCAAGCCUGAUCCAGCCAUGCCGCGUGGGUGAUGAAGGCCCUAGGGUUGUAAAGCUCUUUCACCGGUGAAGAUAAUGACGGUAACCGGAGAAGAAGCCCCGGCUAACUUCGUGCCAGCCGCCGCCGUAAUAC
rnacentral:rRNA from 1 species